rnacentral:rRNA from 1 species
AUUGAACGCUGGCGGCAUGCCUUACACAUGCAAGUCGAACGGCAGCACGGGUGCUUGCACCUGGUGGCGAGUGGCGAACGGGUGAGUAAUACAUCGGAACGUACCUUAUCGUGGGGGAUAACGCAGCGAAAGCUGUGCUAAUACCGCAUACGCCCUGAGGGGGAAAGCGGGGGAUCGAAAGACCUCGCGCGAUUAGAGCGGCCGAUGCCUGAUUAGCUUGUUGGUGGGGUAAAAGCCCACCAAGGCGACGAUCAGUAGCUGGUCUGAGAGGACGAGCAGCCGCACUGGGACUGAGACACGGCCCAGACUCCUACGGGAGGCAGCAGUGGGGAAUUUUGGACAAUGGGGGCAACCCUGAUCCAGCAAUGCCGCGUGAGUGAAGAAGGCCUUCGGGUUGUAAAGCUCUUUUGUCAGGGAAGAAACACCGGCUCUAACACAGUCCGGGAAUGACGGUACCUGAAGAAUAAGCCCCGGCUAACUUCGUGCCAGCAGCCGCAGUAA